rnacentral:rRNA from 1 species
GACGAACGCUGGCGGCGUGCUUAACACAUGCAAGUCGAACGGAAAGGCCCUGCUUUUGUGGGGUGCUCGAGUGGCGAACGGGUGAGUAACACGUGAGUAACCUGCCCUUGACUUUGGGAUAACUUCAGGGAACUGGGGCUAAUACCGGAUAGGAGCUCCUGCUGCAUGGUGGGGGUUGGAAAGUUUCGGCGGUUGUGGAUGGACUCGCGGCUUAUCAGCUUGAUGGUGGAGUAGUUGCUUACCAAGGCUUUGACGGGUAGCCGGCCUGAGAGGGUGACCGGCCACAAUGGGACUGAGAUACGGCGCAGACUCCUACGGGAGGCAGCAGGGGGGAAUAUUGCACAAUGGGCGGAAGCCUGAUGCAGCGACGCCGCGUGCGUGAUGACGGCCUUCGGGUUGUAAACCGCUUUCUCCUGUAACGAAGCGUGAGUGACGGUAAUGAGUAAAGAAGCACCGGCUAACUACGUG